rnacentral:lncRNA from 1 species
CUCCAAGAAGCCAGCACCACAGCCAAGAAAGAUCUCCCUGCUCCAGCCACUGAAGCUACUCUCUCAGAUCCCAGGUGGCACCUCUGUUCCAGGACCCCUUGGGGGCGACCAGUAAACCCAGUCACCAGUGAACCACCCACCCGAUGACUCCGUAGGGAUAGUACCUUUAUCCUCACCCACGCGCAGGAAGAGAUGCAGACCCUCCCUGGAGCCCCAGAGAUCCUCAGACGUG